UUUAACCAAUUAACCUUGCUCUCUUUCCCUCUCUGACCUCCACCACCAUUACAACCAUUACCACUAACCACCAUUUUCGUCACACUACCACCGACCCCAAACAACCACCAUAAGAAAAUCAACCUCUUCACCACCGCCGUCAGAAACGACGCUGGCGACGGGAUUGGGUGGUCGGCGACGGGAUUUGAGUGCCAAUCCAUCGAAUCGAUCUCAUCCUCUACCUCUAGAUCCGAGUUAAGCACGUGAUAGGAUUUGAUGGUCGGCGGUCAUCUGAUCCAUAAUCAAGAGCAAACGAACAGAUCUGAUUAAGGAGAUUAUUAAGGAGUUUGAACUUGUUUGCAACAAAUUAAUUGAAACUUAACUUGUCGUGUCAUCGAUUGCAAAACAGGUGCAGAAAAUCAUCGGAGCGAAGAACGGGCUGGUGAAGACGGCAGAAAACGAUGUAACGGGUGGUGGGUGAUGUAAUGUUUAGAUCUGAGCUAUUGAGGAAAUUUAGUUGGUAUAAUGUUGAGUGAUUAAUUUGUUAUAUCUGAACAACAAAAUGAUGAGUAUUCCAAUUUUCACAAAGCACGACCAUAUGCUAAAUACUAAACAGAAACCCCUUUU
rnacentral:lncRNA from 1 species